AUUUGGCGGUAUUUUAGUCUAUUCAGAGGAACCUGUUUUAUAAUCGAUAAUCCACGAUGGACCUUACUUAAUUUUGUAAUCAGUUUAUAUACCGUCGUUAUUAGAAUAUUUUAUUAGAAAGUUAAUUUUCAUAAUUUUUUAAAAGAAAAUAUAUCAGAUCAAGGUGUAGCUUAUAUUUAAGUAAAAAUGAGUUACAAUAAAAUUAUUUAUAUGAAUAUAAAUUUGAAAUAUUUAUUGAAGGUGGAUUUGAUAGUAAAAUUAUAGAGAUUAAUAAUUUGAUUUUAGCUCUAAAAUAUGUACACAUCGCCCGUCACUCUUAUUAUUAAGGUAAGAUAAGUCGUAACAUAGUAGAUGUACUGGAAAGUGUAUCUAGAAUGCAAUUUAAAACUUAUUAAGUAAAGUAUUUCAUUUACAUUGAAAAGAUUUUUGUGCAAAUCAAUAUAAAUUGAUUAGAUUUUAUUUAUUAAUUUAUUUAUUAUUUAUUUUAAAUUAUUAAAAAUAAUUAUAUAAUUUAAUGUUUUAGUAUAUAAUAAAAAAA
rnacentral:rRNA from 1 species